AUUGAACGCUGGCGGCAUGCCUUACACAUGCAAGUCGAACGGCAGCACGGGAGCAAUCCUGGUGGCGAGUGGCGAACGGGUGAGUAAUAUAUCGGAACGUGCCCAGUCGUGGGGGAUAACGUAGCGAAAGCUACGCUAAUACCGCAUACGAUCUAUGGAUGAAAGCGGGGGAUCGCAAGACCUCGCGCGAUUGGAGCGGCCGAUAUCAGAUUAGGUAGUUGGUGAGGUAAAGGACUCACCAAGCCGACGAUCUGUAGCUGGUCUGAGAGGACGACCAGCCACACUGGGACUGAGACACGGCCCAGACUCCUACGGGAGGCAGCAGUGGGGAAUUUUUGGACAAUGGGCGCAAGCCUGAUCCAGCAAUGCCGCGUGCAGGAU
rnacentral:rRNA from 1 species